AAUAGCUAGUGGAUAGCUUGUUAUAAUACAGUUCAUGCCUUAGUUUUGAGUCCCUUGUGACUAUGAAAGGUACUAGCCCCACAUCUCUUUUUGUAGUGUUUAACACGGCCAUAUUCAUGUAUUGAAAUGCAGUUUUGUAUGUAAUCUUUUCUGUGUAGUGGAGCUGUUUUUAGUUAUUGAUGCUACAAAUGCAGUAAUGUAUCUAUUGCCUGUUUAAUAAAUUGUCUGUUGUCAUGUGCUAUGUUUUGUUCAUUUUUCGAUUAACAUGACGUCACAAUUUAGUAACUACUUGAUGGAUACUUUGCUGCUUAGUUCUUUUGCAGAUUUAUUAUUAUUAUUAUUAU
rnacentral:misc_RNA from 1 species